ensembl:snRNA U6 U6 spliceosomal RNA
ACUUGCUUCAGCAGCACAUAUAUAUACUAAAAUUGGAAUGAUACAGAGAUUAGCAUGGCCCCUGUGCAAGGAUGACGCCAAAUUUGUGAAGUGUUCCAUAUUUUG